rnacentral:rRNA from 1 species
AUACCCUCUUCUACGGCUGUCCUAAGGUAGCGAAAUUCCUUGUCGGGUAAGUUCCGACCCGCACGAAAGGCGUAAUGAUUUGAGCGCUGUCUCGACAAUGCAUCCGGUGAAAUUGAAGUACCAGUGAAGAUGCUGGUUACCCGCGCCAGGACGGAAAGACCCCAUGGAGCUUUACUCCAGUUUGGUACUGGGGUCCGGCAGUGCAUGUACAGGAUAGGUGGGAGGCUGUGAACCUGGAACGCCAGUUUCAGGGGAGCCGGUGUUGGGAUACCACCCUUGUGCUGCUGGGCUUCUAACCAGCGGCCUUUAUCAGGCCGGGGGACAAUGCCAGACGGGGAGUUUGACUGGGGCGGUCGCCUCCGAAAGGGUAUCGGAGGCGCUCAAAGGUUCCCUCAGAAUGGUCGGAAACCAUUCGAAGAGUGCAAAGGCAGAAGGGAGCUUGACUGCGACACCGACGGGUGGAGCAGGUACGAAAGUAGGACUUAGUGAUCCGGUGGUAUAAAGUGGGAUUGCCAUCGCUCAACGGAUAAAAGCUACCCUGGGGAUAACAGGCUUAUCACUCCCAAGAGUUCACAUCGACGGAGUGGUUUGGCACCUCGAUGUCGGCUCAUCGCAUCCUGGGGCUGUAGCAGGUCCCAAGGGUUGGGCUGUUCGCCCAUUAAAGCGGUACGCGAGCUGGGUUCAGAACGUCGUGAGACAGUUCGGUCCCUAUCCGGCGCGGGCGUAGGAUAUCUGAGAGGAGCUGUCCUUAGUACGAGAGGACCGGGAUGGACAGACCGCUGGUGCAUCUGUUGGCAUACCAAUGCCAUGGCAGAGUAGCCAAGUCUGGACGGGAUAAACGCUGAAGGCAUCUAAGCGUGAAGCCCCCCUCAAGAUGAGAUAUCCCAUGCGUAGGCAGUAAGACCCCUUGUAGACGACGAGGUGGAUAGGUUAGAGGUGGAAGUGCAGCAAUGUACGGAGCUGACUAAUACUAAUCGGUCGAGGGCUUAACCAG